rnacentral:rRNA from 1 species
GGAGAAAAGCAGGGGAUCGCAAGACCUUGCGCUUUUGGAGCGGCCGAUGUCUGAUUAGCUAGUUGGUGAGGUAAAGGCUCACCAAGGCUCCGAUCAGUAGCUGGUCUGAGAGGACGACCAGCCACACUGGGACUGAGACACGGCCCAGACUCCUACGGGAGGCAGCAGUGGGGAAUUUUGGACAAUGGGGGCAACCCUGAUCCAGCCAUGCCGCGUGAGUGAAGAAGGCCUUCGGGUUGUAAAGCUCUUUCAGCCGGAAAGAAAUCGUGCAGAUUAAUACUCUGUAUGGAUGACGGUACCGGAAGAAGAAGCACCGGCUAACUACGUGCCAGCAGCCGCGGUAAUACGUAGGGUGCGAGCGUUAAUCGGAAUUACUGGGCGUAAAGCGUGCGCAGGCGGUUUUGUAAGUCAGAUGUGAAAUCCCCGGGCUUAACCUGGGAACUGCGUUUGAAACUACAAGGCUAGAGUGUGGCAGAGGGGGGUGGAAUUCCACGUGUAGCAGUGAAAUGCGUAGAGAUGUGGAGGAACACCGAUGGCGAAGGCAGCCCCCUGGGUUAACACUGACGCUCAGGCACGAAAGCGUGGGGAGCAAACAGGAUUAGAUACCCUGGUAGUCCACGCCCUAAACUAUGUCAACUAGUUGUCGGGCCUUAACGGGCUUGGUAACGAAGCUAACGCGUGAAGUUGACCGCCUGGGGAGUACGGUCGCAAGAUUAAAACUCAAAGGAAUUGACGGGGACCCGCACAAGCGGUGGAUGAUGUGGUUUAAUUCGAUGCAACGCGAAAAACCUUACCCACCUUUGACAUGUACGGAACUCGCCAGAGAUGGCUUGGUGCUCGAAAGAGAGCCGUAACACAGGUGCUGCAUGGCUGUCGUCAGCUCGUGACGUGAGAUGUUGGGUUAAGUCCCGCAACGAGCGCAACCCUUGUCAUUAGUUGCUACAUUCAGUUGGGCACUCUAAUGAGACUGCCGGUGAUAAACCGGAGGAAGGUGGGGAUGACGUCAAGUCCUCAUGGCCCUUAUAGGUGGGGCUACACACGUCAUACAAUGGCUGGUACAGAGGGUUGCCAACCCGCGAGGGGGAGCUAAUCCCAUAAAGCCAGUCGUAGUCCGGAUCGGAGUC